rnacentral:rRNA from 1 species
UACAGAGGGGGCAAGCGUUGCUCGGAAUCACUGGGCGUAAAGCGACCGCAGGCGGCCUGACAAGUCGGAUGUGAAAGCCCUGGGCUCAACUCAGGAAUUGCAUUCGAAACUGGUAGGCUCGAGUACGGGAGAGGGGGGUGGAAUUCCUGGUGUAGGGGUGAAAUUCGUUGAUAUCAGGAGGAACACCGGUGGCGAAGGCGGCUCUCUGGUCCAUGACUGACGCUGAGGUGCGAAAGCGUGGGGAGCAAACAGG